rnacentral:rRNA from 1 species
GACGAACGCUGGCGGCGUGCUUAACACAUGCAAGUCGAACGGUAAGGCCCUUCGGGGUACACGAGUGGCGAACGGGUGAGUAACACGUGGGUGAUCUGCCCUGCACUUCGGGAUAAGCCUGGGAAACUGGGUCUAAUACCGGAUAGGACCACUGCCUGCAUGGGUGGUGGUGGAAAGCUUUUGCGGUGUGGGAUGGGCCCGCGGCCUAUCAGCUUGUUGGUGGGGUGAUGGCCUACCAAGGCGACGACGGGUAGCCGGCCUGAGAGGGUGACCGGUCACACUGGGACUGGGAUGCGGCCCAGAUUCCUACGGGAGGCAGCAGUGGGGAAUAUUGCACAAUGGGCGCAAGCCUGAUGCAGCGACGCCGCGUGAGGGAUGACGGCCUUCGGGUUGUAAACCUCUUUCAGCUAUGACGAAGCGCAAGUGACGGUAGUAGCAGAAGAAGGACCGGCCAACUACGUGCCAGCAGCCGCCGUAA